AUGUCAGGCUGUAAUUGCCGUAAGUUUGAUACUCAACCGCAGAAGAUCUGGGAAGUUGCCAGGGCAGGCUUCAUAUACUACCGAAAUCGUCCACCACCUGAUGAUUUGACACCCGAUGCCAUGGAACAACUCUCAGAAGAGGAGCUCCAGUCAAUCAAUGAGUAUGAGGUCUUUAUGGUGCCUGGCAAGCUGCUGCAUUCUGUGCCAAUACUGUUUAACAAAAAAACAAAGGAAGCCAUCGAGCUUAUUUGCAAGUGCAGAAGCUUGCUAGGCAUCCCAGAGCCAACCGAGCAGGCUGCAAUACCUAGGGGCAGGAAAACGGUAGUUACAAAUCAGCAAGUCGAUGAUUGCAAGAAAAAAGAACUCUUAUUUCCCAGGGUGUUCACUGAAAAACCCUUCGAGGCUAGUGCAAUCUUAGCUACCCUGAGGUCCAGCUGCAAGCUGAAAAAGCCCAAUCAUAUGACUGCAACUGGUCUUAGGCAUCAUUUGGCUACAAAAACGGCCAUCCAAGGUAAUGAUGAGUACAUGGACAAGGUUUGUUCAUUUAUGGGGCACACAAAACAGACUCAUGGGCAAUACUAUAAGUUUCCGAUCCAGGCCACUCAAAGAGGAGUUGUAGGAAGUAAACUCAGAAUGAUGGCGAAAGGAAAAAGCCUUACUGAGCCAUCCCAUAACGUAACAACAUCAGUUGACGUCAACAACAAUGAAGACCCCAGCUUAGCGGCUGAGGAAGGAUCUUCAUUAUUAUUGGCCUCAACAGUUGCCGAUGUUCAGAUACGCCCUACUCAGUUAUUGACCUCGACAGUUGCUGAUGUUGCGAUGUAUCCUGCUCCAAUAUUGACCCCAACAGUUGCUAAAGUUGAGAUGCAUCCUGCUCCUGAUGAUAUAUUUAAUCUUAGCACGUCAGCAUCUGUAGCCAUAGUGGAAGAGAGCACAUCAAUUCCCAUCAAAAGAGGUAGAGGACGUCCAAAGAAAGUGGUCAGCCCACCAAAAAUGCCCAAGUUGUCGGAAUCUCUUUCUGCCUCAUCAUCAGAAGUGGUCAGCCCACCAAAAAUGCCCAAGUUGUCGGAAUCUCUUUCUGCCUCAUCGUCAGAUUCUGACGAUUCAUUUGUACCUUUUGAUACCAAAAAGAAAAAAAAGAGACAAGAAGGUGGAAAGCCUGGACUUUUGAAGAGAAAGAACUGGUUGUGA
rnacentral:lncRNA from 1 species